GGGUCUUCUACCUACAUAGAGCUGUAUUACACUAAAAUAGUGGUUAUACGGAGAUAUAUCAAUUGGGGAUACUUUUAUUCCUUUGUUAGUUAGGGUAUAUCUAAGGUGUAGUAGUUUUGUCUUACAUUUUCCCUGUAUUUAAGAGAUACUUAACUUUUAAUAGACAGAAUAAAGAUACAUUUUACAUCUAUAUUUGAGUGCGGUAUAUGUAUUUAUUGUAAUUAUCCAGCGUAUUCAUUGAGGGCUACCCUGAUACCUAGCUCCACUAGGUUUGAAGAGUGCCGGUGCAUAUUGAUUUUUCAAUGCUGCAUAUCUGUCCAAUGUGGACCCAUGAGGAAAGAACAGAGUGACAAUU